UGAGGAAUAUUGGUCAAUGGGCGAGAGCCUGAACCAGCCAAGUAGCGUGCAGGAUGACGGCCCUAUGGGUUGUAAACUGCUUUUAUAUGGGAAUAAAGUGAGGGACGUGUCCCUUAUUGCAUGUACCAUAUGAAUAAGGACCGGCUAAUUCCGUGCCAGCAGCCGCGGUAAUACGGAAGGUCCAGGCGUUAUCCGGAUUUAUUGGGUUUAAAGGGAGCGUAGGCUGUUUGUUAAGCGUGUUGUGAAAUGUAAGAGCUCAACUUUUAGAUUGCAGCGCGAACUGGCAGACUUGAGUGCGCACAACGUAGGCGGAAUUCAUGGUGUAGCGGUGAAAUGCUUAGAUAUCAUGACGAACUCCGAUUGCGAAGACAGCUUACGGGAGCGCAACUGACGCUAAAGCUCGAAGGUGCGGGUAUCGAACAGG
rnacentral:rRNA from 1 species